UACAGAGGUGGCAAGCGUUGUUCGGAAUUACUGGGCGUAAAGGGCGCGUAGGCGGUUCGAUAAGUCCCGUGUGAAAUCCCUCGGCUCAACUGAGGAAUGGCACGGGAAACUGACGGGCUUGAGUUCGGGAGAGGGAAGCGGAAUUCCGGGUGUAGCGGUGGAAUGCGUAGAGAUCCGGAGGAAGACCGGUGGCGAAGGCGGCCUGCUGGGCAGUUACUGACACUGAGGCGCGACAGCGUGGGGAGCAAACAGG
rnacentral:rRNA from 1 species